UUUUUUGGAGAUCAAAUUUUUUGUAUUAUAUCAGCACAGAGGGCCCGAGAGGACAAAUACCGCAGGUCGGAAUUCAGCCUUGGCAACUCAGCAUCCGAUCUUGGUCUAUAGAGUUAAGAAAAACGCGUCGUUCGUUCCCCCGACCCCUGAGCCCCGACCCCCGAGUUUUAGUUACGCCCGGCGGCAGCACUACAAUUAGAUACAGAAAAAAUUGGAACGCGAUUCCACCUCCCAUUUUACCGACCCUUCGUUGGUGUCCACCACGGAGGCAAUGUUGUUUCGCAUUGGCCCAACAAUGUAGCUGUUGUUGUUGAUGUAAAGUAGGUAAAAGGCUCUGUAGCAUUCUGGAACCCAACUUUUUCUUGAUUCUGCAAAUUAAUGUCAUCGUGAGCAGCGGGCAUGGCAUUUUCUUUCAUUGGAGCAGGAGCACUUUCCUCGGAUAGGGCAGCCGGCUGACCAUCUGCUUCUCUUUCAGGAAAAAUACCAGCAGACACAUCAACACGCACACCAUCCUCUUCAGGAUCACCUUCCAUGCUGCUGUCAUGGCUACGAAGCCUUCUUCUGGUGACAGGGUUUUCACUUAACACAGAAUUAGGAGGAUUCUUCCAUUUUAGCUUAACUUCUAAAAAAAAAUUUGGAAAAUUUCUUCUCCUCUCACACUAAAUUUUUCAUUUCCUCCCCUUCCACGUAGAGGUAAUGAGAGGGAUUACCCCUUGGGUUUGGGUAUGUUAAGAAAACUGCAUAUUGAACUUCAUUCUCCUCAUGAAGUCUUUCUCAAUUUUUUUUUUUUAGUUUUUACCCUAUCCCAUCUUUUCCAACAACUCCAUUUUGAUCCAGUUGCCCUCUUCUCGUUAAGUCUACUUUCUGUGAUAAGUUGCUAAUAAUGCAGAAAUACAAUUUUAAUUUUAAAAUGUA